GCACAACGCGAAGAACCUUACCUGGGUUUGACAUACACCAGAAAGCUGUAGAGAUACAGCCCCCCUUGUGGUUGGUGUACAGGUGGUGCAUGGCUGUCGUCAGCUCGUGUCGUGAGAUGUUGGGUUAAGUCCCGCAACGAGCGCAACCCUUGUCCUGUAUUGCCAGCGGGUUAUGCCGGGGACUUGCAGGAGACUGCCGGGGUCAACUCGGAGGAAGGUGGGGAUGACGUCAAGUCAUCAUGCCCCUUAUGUCCAGGGCUUCACACAUGCUACAAUGGCGCGUACAGAGGGCUGCGAUACCGUGAGGUGGAGCGAAUCCCUUAAAGCGCGUCUCAGUUCGGAUUGGGGUCUGCAACUCGACCCCAUGAAGUCGGAGUCGCUAGUAAUCGCAGAUCAGCAACGCUGCGGUGAAUACGUUCCCGGGUCUUGUACACACCG
rnacentral:rRNA from 1 species